AUGAUGAUGAUGACGAUGAUGGUGAUGAAGAUCUCGACGAUCGACAAGGGGGCGACGACGAUGAUGAUGGUGAUUAUAGGGUCAUUAUUCAUUAGGCACAUUGAGGGGACAAAAAGGGGCUCCAUGGAUGUUGUCGUAGGGAAAGGGUUGCAAAGAAAACCAAAGAUGUCACCUUUUCCUCAUCAGGGGCCGGUUAGGCACAUUGAGGGGACAAAAAGGGGCUCCAUGGAUGUUGUCGUAGGGAAAGGGUUGCAAAGAAAACCAAAGAUGUCACCUUUUCCUCAUCAGGCCCCGGCCCCGGCCCCGGCCCCUAAUUAG
rnacentral:rRNA from 1 species